rnacentral:misc_RNA from 1 species
GCACUAGAAGGCACGGUUCCGUACCCACCUGAUUGCGGAAUUGACUGUUCGUAGGUUGCCUGCGUCGCGGUCUGUUGAGUAUAACCUGGUUGCCCACUGGCUGGAGCAGUAUAAGCUGCUGCAGCAGCUGCUGUGGCUCCGGUAUAUGCUGUGGGAUCUUGAGGCGCUUGGUAUGCAGCAUAUCCAGCAGCAGCGUUUGCAGCAGCCUGCUCCGGAUAGCCCUGCUGGGAGGUCGGAUACUGCCCAUAUGCCGCAGUGGGAGCUACUUGUUGGCUGUAAGCAGACGGUUGCUGCACACCAGGUUGACCAUAACCAGCUUGGGCACCCUGCUGAGAGUAACCAGCAGCAGCAGAAGCAGCGGGUGCUUGAUUGUAGCCAUCCGUGGUUGGUACGGUGGCAUAGGGAGGAUACUGCUGGGCAGAAGCACCAGUUGGGUAUGGAUAUGUCUGUUGAGGUUGCAUAUUUUGUCCAUAUGAAGCUGGGGCAGAGGCACCUUGAUAAGGCUCUGCAGGCUGACCAACCCUAGGAGCGCCAUAAGACUGGGGAGGUGGUCCUUGUGCUGGAACACCAUAUGAUGGAGGCUUAUUAUCAUACUGUUGUUGUCCGGGGUAAACCUGUUGAGCACCAGCCUGGGGAUAAAGUUGUUGAGCAUUCCCAUGUCCACCG